UGUCGCUUGGCAAAAAUUAAGCCGAAUCUGGAUUAGUCUAGUAGCUCCUUUUGAGCGAAAAAUUAAUAGGCAAAAAAAGAU
rnacentral:sRNA from 12 species